rnacentral:lncRNA from 1 species
AAAAUACUUAUUAUACACUCUAAAAAAAAAAUUAAAAAGUAUAUCUUACACCCGUAAUUUUAGAAUUGAAAAAAAUAAAAUUAAUUUUUUUAAAAAAUUUAAAAAAUUAAUAUGAUAAAAAUGAUCCUAGAAUAAAGUGAAUGUAAAAAAUAUAUUCUACUUUAUGAUGUACUAUUAUUCUUCUUAUUCCAAUCUAACUAUUUAAAUAUUAUGCAUCUUAUUUUUAGAAACAACUCAAUUUUUAUCCAAACGUUAAAUUGAUCUAAUUUUUAUUUAUAUCUUAUACCAAUUUCUGAAAUAAACAGUUUUUAUUUAUAUCCGAAUCAAACACAGCCAAAAGUGUAUUGGCAAAUAAUAAGUCUCGCAUUAUGCCCGUGUGGCGAACGGUGCAAAAGAGCAAAGUCAUUGGGGGACGGACCAAUGAACACGAAUGUUUGGAGAUGAUCACGAUUUGCUAGUUCAUUGGGUCCCACAUGAGCCCCACAUGCAUGUUAUGUUCUUUUCACGCAAUAGCGAGUUCGCGUACGGAUCCAACUCACGGCGUGUAAACGGUUUGGAUUCGGGAUGAAUUUUUAAAAAUUACAAUCCAAAUCCCACCAUUAAACAUGAAAUUUGAAUCCGAAUUUAAAUCUGAGGAAUUGUAAAAAUUAAAAAAAUUUUGAAACUCGAAACCAAAUCUAAAAUAAUUAUUUUUCUUUACCAUAGCUUUAAAAUUAUAUCACAUUAAAUAUAAAUUUUUAAAAUACAAAUUUAAAUAUUUAUAUAUAUUAUAUAAUGUAAGCUUAAUUCGGGUUCAAGUUGAGUUCUGGUCGGGUUCAAGUACGGAUCGAGUAUAGGUAAAAUUCAUAUCUGAAUUCAAAUUGGUCGGAUUUCGUUCUUUAUAUUCAUAUUUGAAACUAUAUCCGUUUAGUAUCAAAUAAAUUUUGUUCGAAUUCAAAUAAAAUUUCGGAUAUCUGUACUUAUUGACAUCCCUAAUCAUGUGCCGAGAGGGUGAUUUAAGGUCCAUUCUACAACUAGAAAUUUAGAACUCUGCUACUUCAUUGGGUUAGUUUUGUAAAUACCAAACAUGCCAUAUUGCAGGAGAUUUUUAUUGACUUAAAUGGACCAGUAUUCUGCCCUGUGGUGGAAAAUCAGAUUAGACUAAGUCAAAUUUGAAAUUUUAUGAGGCUGAGUUGGGCCGAGUCAUGUUUGAAAUGGCGUGAGACUGGUUGGGCUGAGUCGUAAUGGAAAUCCAUUGGCGCUGUAUCUGUACGCUUUAAACGAAUUAGUUGUAUAUUUCUAAUAUCUGAAAUUUUUUGGAUUAAUGGUUAGUACCAAUGAUCCAAAAAAAUAUUAUUAGUCGUAUACU